rnacentral:rRNA from 1 species
UUGAAAUCCCCCGGGAAUUGUAAUUUGAAGAGAUUUGGGUCCGGCCGGCAGGGGUUAAGUCCACUGGAAAGUGGCGCCACAGAGGGUGACAGCCCCGUGAACCCCUUUACGCCCUCAUCCCAGAUCUCCAAGAGUCGAGUUGUUUGGGAAUGCAGCUCUAAGUGGGUGGUAAAUUCCAUCUAAAGCUAAAUACCGGCGAGAGACCGAUAGCGAACAAGUACAGUGAUGGAAAGAUGAAAAGCACUUUGAAAAGAGAGUGAAAAAGUACGUGAAAUUGUUGAAAGGGAAGGGCUUGCAAGCAGACACUUAACUGGGCCAGCAUCGGGGCGGCGGGAAACAAAACCACCGGGGAAUGUACCUUUCGAGGAUUAUAACCCCGGUCCUUACUCCCUUGUUGCCCCGAGGCCUGCAAUCUAAGGAUGCUGGCGUAAUGGUUGCAAGUCGCCCGUCU